UAACAAUUUUAGGACUAUUGGCAGCAAAAAUGUUUGCUGCUAUUUCUAAUAUUUCUUGUAGUGUCUAUCUCUAUGCUUCUAUAUGCAGCUUCCAUAAAUUCAACCUGCAGUCUAUUGAUUAAAAAAGAGAAUUCAUCAUGCUUUUGAUUUUCAUGUCAAAAUGAAUCUAUAAUAUUAUCGUGACUCUUCUUCGGUUCAUCUUAUUUUGACGAAUCCCCCAAUUCUAAACCUUGACAAGUCCUUGUUCAAUGUCUAUUUUUAGCAAAAACAUACUGAUAUGUUCUUUUAACUUUACACAGCUUAGCAUUUGCGACACUAGAAUUUUAGAUCUUUCAAGUAUUUUCCUUGUCAAAAGUUUUUUGGAGCAUUGCAAAAAGAGUGUGAAAUUGCUAGAUCUGUAGUUUCUAAUUCGAGUGGUGGUACAAUCUGAAAAGUCAGAUUGUUUCAUGUACUAAGUCAUUAUUAGUAGAAAUAAACCGAUACUAACAAUUAUGGAGAAGAAUAAAAAAAAAAAGUAGAUACUAUAUCAUGAAAUUCGAUACACUAUUGUGUUGUGAGGACCUACAAUAAACUUUGUAGAUUAAAGUGGCAUUAUUAGAACUACAAAGGAAAAUUCAGCAGGAGAAAGGGAUGAUGCUCUUUAAUGUAAUGGAAGUAACACAAAACAAUUCUUCAGAAUGACAAGCUCUCUCAAUUUGUGCAAGGUAUUAUUCCGUGUCCCUUCAUAUUAGUAAUCCUCCUAUGCUUUUCGAGUUAGAUAUUGAUACUGGUAGUGAUCUUACUUGGGUUCAGUGUGAUGCCCCCUGCACUGGUUGCACUAAGGUAAAUUCUAUUCUACUGUCAAAUUUGUUUCAUUUCCAAAGGAAUUGAUUUAUAACUCAUUUGAUAUAAACAUAAUCAAUUCUGCAAAUUUCGAUGAAUCCUGAUUACAUUACCGCUGGUUAAAAAAGAUGAUUUAUAAAAAGAUGUUUUUGAAGUGAAGGAGAGAUCAAAGAAUUCGCACUAUUUCUGAAAUUCAUGGACCCAAUUUAAUUCCAUGUGAUCUUUUAUAAAACUUUUGGAGAAAAACUUUUAUUUUAAAUUUCUUUCAUUUUGUAGAAUUUAUUUGUAUCAAAUGCACCAUUAAUGUGUUUAUGGAUGCUCGUAACUAUAGCGAAUUGAGUAUCUUUACAAGCCAAGAAAAAAUCUACUCUCUUGUAAAGAUCCCCGAUGCAGCGGUAUUCAGUUAUCAGGACACUUUAACUGUGAGUCUGCUGCUGAUCAAUGUGACUAUGAGAUCCAGUAUGCUUAUGAAGGUUCAUCUCUUGGUGUGAUGGUUACAGACUACUUCCCUCUUAGAUUAAUGAAUGGCUCUCUUUUUAGACCUCAACUUGCCUUUGGGUAGGUUUCACACUGGCCAUCUUGGUUUAUAAAUCUUAAUGAUUUAUCUCUCAGCUUAAAAGAAUCAGGUUACUUAGUAAAGUCGGAUUGUUUAGCGGCCAAAUUUUUAAUCAAUAAUCUUCCAUAGAACUCCGCUGUAACAAUCACAAAUUAUUCUCUAACGACAUUGACAUGAUUAUUACAAUUCAUGAUGACAUUGACAUGAUUAUUAUAAUUCAUGAUUAUUAUAAUUGCGGACAUUGAUUCUAA